rnacentral:rRNA from 1 species
UACGUAGGGGGCAAGCGUUGUCCGGAUUUAUUGGGCGUAAAGAGCGUGUAGGCGGUUUGGUAGGUCCGUUGUGAAAACUCGAGGCUCAACCUCGAGACGCCGAUGGAAACCAUCAGACUAGAGUCCGGAAGAGGAGAGUGGAAUUCCUGGUGUAGCGGUGAAAUGCGCAGAUAUCAGGAAGAACACCCGUGGCUAAGGCGGCUCUCUAGUACGGUACUGACGCUGAGGAGCGAAAGCGUGGGGAGCAAACAGG